rnacentral:rRNA from 1 species
UACGGAGGGGGCUAGCGUUGUUCGGAAUUACUGGGCGUAAAGGGCGCGCAGGCGGUCGUGCAAGUCGCGUGUGAAAGCCCCCGGCUCAACUGGGGAGGGUCACGCGAUACUGCUCGACUCGAAGGCAGGAGAGGGAAGUGGAAUUCCCGGUGUAGUGGUGAAAUGCGUAGAUAUCGGGAGGAACACCAGUGGCGAAGGCGACUUCCUGGCCUGUUCUUGACGCUGAGGCGCGAAAGCUAGGGUAGCAAACGGGG